rnacentral:sRNA from 1 species
AAUAGCCUUUCUUUUU